rnacentral:lncRNA from 1 species
UGGAGAAGCUGACCAUUUUAUUUAUAAGAUGUGCUGUAUGGAGCGAGCAAUAAAAAUUAACUUUUCAGUGCUUCACCAACCAACUAUAUGAGUAUUUAUCCAAUAGCUUAAAGAAGAUCAAGCAUAAUAUCAUCUGAAUAUGGGAUUGUACUUACGCUGCAUUCAAGUCAUACAUCUUAUAAGCAGGUGUACCCAUACCACGUAAGGUGCAUCGGCGCAUAUAUGCCCACUCAGAUUCCUCUUCUUAGUGAUCAUGAAUCCUACAAUGGGUCAAACACCCCUAGCUCUCAGUCUAAUUUUUGGGCUAGGUUUGCCCUGUUUGUAAGCUACCAAAAAAUUCAACGGUAUUGUUGAUGGCAGACUAUUAGUUGGUGACAUGAGAGUUAGGAUAUAAAUCAGUUCCCAUCUUGCAGGAACUGCAUUUGAGCUGCCUGAUGGCACGAACGGUGUACACCUUUGAUCACUGUUCUCCCUUAUUUUCAC